rnacentral:rRNA from 1 species
UGGAGCCUGCGGUUUAAUUGGACUCAACGCCGGGCAGCUCACCGGAUAAGACAGCUGGAUGAUAGCCGGGCUGAAGACUCUGCUUGACUAGCUGAGAGGAGGUGCAUGGCCGUCGUCAGUUCGUACUGUGAAGCAUCCUGUUAAGUCAGGCAACGAGCGAGACCCACGCCAACAGUUGCCAGCAUGUCCUCCGGGAUGAUGGGGACACUGUUGGGACCGCCUCUGCUAAAGAGGAGGAAGGAAUGGGCAACGGUAGGUCAGCAUGCCCCGAAUUAUCCGGGCUACACGCGGGCUACAAUGGUCAGGACAAUGGGUAUCGACACCGAGAGGUGGAGGCAAUCUCCUAAACCUGUCCUUAGUUCGGAUUGUGGGCUGCAACUCGACUGCAUGAAGUUGGAAUCGCUAGUAAUCGCUGAUCAGCAGGCAGCGGUGAAUACGUUCCCGGGCCUU